rnacentral:lncRNA from 1 species
CCUUGACUGAAGCAUCCAGGGACCAAGCUGUGAGUUGCUUGAAAGGGAUUAGCACUGCUGUCCCUGGACACAGCUUAAGCUCAUGGAAUGAUGGAGUCAUGAGGAAAAGGUGGUCAACGUGAGAAGUGACUCAGGAGAGCCAUGAUCUCUUGCAGACAAAAUUAUUUUGUGGGAGUCUGAAUGGAAUCCAUCAGAAAUAUCUGGAAGAACAGUCUUUUUCAUGGGCAGAUAUCCUCAUGAGUAAGUGAUUUCACAAAAUGAUGUCUUAACAGUCUUA